rnacentral:lncRNA from 1 species
CCUUCAUCACGAACAUGUGCGGCAGCGGCGUGAUCAUCAUCGCCCCCCCCUGGUCCUUCUUGAUCUUCGUUAGGCAGGCGAGCCCGUUGUCGCCGUCGAUGUUCAUGGCGCAGGAUCCGCAGAUGCCCUCGCGGCAGGAGCGGCGGAAGGUGAGCGACGGGUCCACCUCGUUCUUGAUCUUGAUGAGGGCGUCCAGCACCAUCGGCCCGCAGUCAUUGAGGUCGACCGCGAACUCCUCCAGGCGGGGCUUCCCCCCUCCCUCGGGGCUCCACCGGUAGAUCUGGAACGUCUUCAGGUUCGGAGAUUUCUUCCCGGCGGACGGCGCCGCCUCCGCCGCCGCCGUCGAGUGGCCCUGCGUCUGCUGGAGGAGCGGGCCCCGGACGGAGGGGGACGCCGCCGCGCAGACCUCUCUGAGCCCCCCGAGGACGGAGGAGGAGAGCGUGGA